CGACGUAACAGUGACUAGGAGGCCUUCCUGUGGUUUGGGGUGGACAGGGAAGCCCUCUGAGGAAGUGGCCAAACAGCAGGAGGCACAGAGCAAUGCAAAUAAUGCAGAAGUCCCAAGGCAGGAAGAGCCCAGUUCGGCCCAGAAUACAAAGGAGGAGAGAUUCAAAACACAGCAACACAGAGACAGAUAUGGGGAGAAGGAAGACAUCCAAGUGAAGAUAUCAAGGAGACAUUCAGGCAUGGGUCUGGCGCUCACUGGAAAGUUUGAGGCUGGAGACAUGAAUUUGGAAAUCACUGCCAUCCAGAUGUACUUGACAGAAUGAAGACGGGGACAAGAGCAAUGACCAAGUCUGAGGCAGUCACUAAGAGGUCUGACAAAGGAUAAGGUGGUAGGUCUGGGGAAAACAAAGGUGUGUUAUCGUUCAAGAGAACAAAGAUGCGGGCAUGAUGCAAAGGCUGGUCAACAUCAAAGGAGAGAAGGAUGAGUGAAGCAAUGCGUGGUUUAGCAACAUGGAAAUCAAUGGCCCUAUAACAAGAUAAUGCUUAUUCACAUGAAUAAAAUAAAUGCAUAAAUAUCAAGUCAUUAUGUUGUAUAGCUUAAACUUACACAACAUGUCCUAUCUCCAUAAAACUGGAAAAUACAGCGAGAAAACCCAGGGAAGAGACAGGGAAGCUAACUGUUCGUCAGGAUGGGUCAUAUCCAUAAGCCGAACAUAAAACAUCUUCUGUCAUUUAUGUGCCAUUUAAAAGAAGACUGAAGAGUUAAAUAUAAACUAUCCCUGGAAACAAGAAAUGAAUAAAAUAUCAACAUAAUUAUUUUCCUCCUCUCAGACUGGUUAGCAGUACGGGGGCAAGGGGCCAGGCUCUCUUAAAAUGAUUUAAGUUGAGAGUAGAAAUGGUUUAUACAUAAAAUAAAUCCAUGGGGACACAGAAUAUAGUCAAUAAUGUAUUAACUUUGUAUGGUGACAGAUGGUAACAAGAUUUAUAUGGUAAUCCUUUCACAAUGUAUAUAAACAUCAAAUCACCGUGUUGUCCACCUGAAAUUGGCAUUGCAUUUCAGUUAUACUUCAGUAAAAAAGUGUAAAUGUAAAUUGGCAGAGUAUUUCUGGAGGGCAACAGUGAUCAAGAUGUAUUGUGUUUAUACUUUGUAAAAUUCACUUUCUUGGGUUUCUUCCUAAGGAAAUAAGUGGAAAUAGAAAAAAUGAAUUAUAAGAGAAUGUUCAAAACAAAGUUGUUCACAAUAGGAGAAAACUGUAAACAGCGUAAUUUUUCAUCAGUAGAGGAUGGAUUAUGGCACAUCCAACACGCUGAAACAGAAGGUCUUUUAAGAGGGUAACCAGAACGUCCAAGGAGCUCCACGUGUUUGAUUUGCCACCACAUAUGCAGUGUCUGAUAUGUGACAGCUGCUUACAAAUACUGACUGAAUGACCAACUAUUUUUAUAGAGACAUGAAAAUAUAUUCACAUUAUACUGAGAAGAGAAAAAAAAGCGACUUAGAAAACAGCAUGUAAAACACACCCACGUAUGUUUAACGAUGGUGUUACAUGCUUGUAUCUCUGGACACAAAUGUCCCUGAAGGACACCUUUGAAACUUGACUAGAGAAAGGACCCUGGCAAGCAUCAGUUAGGGAGACCCAUUUUCUUCUUUAAAUAACAUUGUUUGAAAUUUCUCCACGCGUACGUACAACCUUGGGUUUUUUGUUAUGUUGUUUUCCAUUUCUUCAAGUAUGUUUGAAUGAAUAAAAGAUUUGGAAAGAUCUA